UACGUAGGGGGCGAGCGUUAUCCGGAUUUAUUGGGUUUAAAGGGUGCGUAGGCGGGCUUUUAAGUCAGCGGUAAAAAUUCGGGGCUCAACCCCGUCCGGCCGUUGAAACUGGGGGUCUUGAGUGGGCGAGAAGAAGGCGGAAUGCGUGGUGUAGCGGUGAAAUGCAUAGAUAUCACGCAGAACCCCGAUUGCGAAGGCAGCCUUCCGGCGCCCUACUGACGCUGAGGCACGAAAGUGCGGGGAUCGAACAGG
rnacentral:rRNA from 1 species